GCGAUGGCGGCGGUGUAGGGCCGGGCUCGGGCCGGGACCUCCCCUGAUGGGUGUGAGGUGGUCUCUCCGCUGUUUUCACCCUGUUCCCGGUGCCUGCUGCAGCAUCGUGGGGCUUGCAGCUUUCUUGAAGACAGACUGGAGAAUGAGGCUGUCAGAUCUCUGCAGGAUCUCGUCCAGGGGACUUCUUCCCAUGUUCUCACUUCCCUCUGGAAAGGGUGGCCUCUCCUUGAGGCACACACCACACAAGGCUACCAGCUUUUAAAGAAUCCUGCAGCAUAUCAAUGGUCAAGGUCAGAAUCCCAUUAUGACUUGAUUUUCUGCAUGAAUCCUCAGAAUGAUGCAAACCCUGCAAGUUUUACUUACAUUGAAAAAUGUCAGAAGCAUGGUUUCUUCUCUCCCAGUGUGUGGAACUGGGAGUUUAGCACUCAUUGUCACAGAGAGAAACUAAUUAUGCCACUGAAUCAUUCCUCCCAAGCUGGCUGGCUGAGUAUUGAUCCCUUGUUCCUGAGUAAGUAAACCCUGUCGUUGAUCAUAAUUAUUCUGGAACAUCUUAUUCCAGUGACUGGAUCAAUAAUGUCUUCCACGGCAUCCUGCCAUGUGUUCCUGUCAUGCCUGGGCACCUCCGCAUCACCUGCUGUUCAUCAGGAGACCAAUGGAAUAAUUAGCUGUGAUGGUGGGAAUGCCAUCAGCCACUUCACACUCAUGUAGGUCUCAGCCAGGCCACAAGGUGAAGCGUUGGAUGCACAGCAUCUGUGAUUAGAAUUUUGGUGUCAACUGAUACCCAAACAGCUGUUGUUCUAAAUAUAUUUCUCCUCCAUAUGUAUGUA